rnacentral:rRNA from 1 species
GCGUAGCGAAAGCGAGUCUUAAUAGGGCGCAAGUUGCUGGGUGUAAGACCCGAAACAGAUGAGCUAUCAUGGCCAGGAUGAAGCGAGGUAACACCUCGUGAAGGUCCGAACCCACUAGUGUUGAAAAAACUAGGGGAUGAGCUGUGGAUAGGGGUGAAAAGGCUAAAACAAAUCUGGAAAUAGCUGGUUCUCUCCGAAAAACUAUUUAGGUAGUGCCUCAUGUAUCACCUUUGGGGGUAGAGCACUGUUAUGGCUAGGGGGGUCAUCGCGACUUACCAAACCAUUGCAAAACUCCGAAUACCAAAGAGUGCGAGCAUGGGAGACAGACAUCGGGUGCUAACGUCCGGUGUCAAAAGGGAAACAACCCAGACCCUCAGCUAAGGUCCCCAAGAUAUAGUUAAGUGGUAAACGAAGUGGGAAGGCAUAGACAGUCAGGAGGUUGGCUUAGAAGCAGCCAUCCUUUAAAGAAAGCGUAAUAGCUCACUGAUCGAGUCGUCCUGCGCGGAAGAUGUAACGGGGC